UGCGUAGGUGGUUUUGUAUGUCGGAUGUGAAAGCCCACGGCUCAACCGUGGAAUUGCAUUCGAAACUGCAGAACUAGAGUGCAGGAGGGGAGAGCGGAAUUCUUGGUGUAGCGGUGAAAUGCGUUGAUAUCAAGAAGAACACCGGUGGCGAAGGCGGCUCUCUGGAAUGUUACUGACACUGAGGCACGAAAGCUGGGGGAGCGAACAGGAUUAGAUACCCUGGUAGUCC
rnacentral:rRNA from 1 species